rnacentral:rRNA from 1 species
AUGAACGCUGGCGGCGUGCCUAAUACAUGCAAGUCGAGCGAACAGACGAGGAGCCUGCUCCUCUGACGUUAGCGGCGGACGGGUGAGUAACACGUGGAUAACCUACCUAUAAGACUGGGAUAACUUCGGGAAACCGGAGCUAAUACCGGAUAAUAUAUUGAACCGCAUGGUUCAAUAGUGAAAGACGGUUUUGCUGUCACUUAUAGAUGGAUCCGCGCCGCAUUAGCUAGUUGGUAAGGUAACGGCUUACCAAGGCAACGAUGCGUAGCCGACCUGAGAGGGUGAUCGGCCACACUGGAACUGAGACACGGUCCAGACUCCUACGGGAGGCAGCAGUAGGGAAUCUUCCGCAAUGGGCGAAAGCUUGACGGAGCAACGCCGCGUGAGUGAUGAAGGUCUUCGGAUCGUAAAACUCUGUUAUUAGGGAAGAACAAAUGUGUAAGUAACUAUGCACGUCUUGACGGUACCUAAUCAGAAAGCCACGGCUAACUACGUG